rnacentral:rRNA from 1 species
GAUGAACGCUGGCGGCGUGCCUAAUACAUGCAAGUCGAGCGAACAGACGAGGAGCUUGCUCCUCUGACGUUAGCGGCGGACGGGUGAGUAACACGUGGAUAACCUACCUAUAAGACUGGGAUAACUUCGGGAAACCGGGGCUAAUACCGGAUAAUAUAUUGAACCGCAUGGUUCAAUAGUGAAAGACGGUUUUGCUGUCACUUAUAGAUGGAUCCGCGCCGCAUUAGCUAGUUGGUAAGGUAACGGCUUACCAAGGCAACGACGCGUAGCCGACCUGAGAGGGUGAUCGGCCACACUGGAACUGAGACACGGUCCAGACUCCUACGGGAGGCAGCAGUAGGGAAUCUUCCGCAAUGGGCGAAAGCUUGACGGAGCAACGCCGCGUGAGUGAUGAAGGUCUUCGGAUCGUAAAACUCUGUUAUUAGGGAAGAACAAAUGUGUAAGUAACUAUGCACGUCUUGACGGUACCUAAUCAGAAAGCCACGGCUAACUACGUG